GAAGCAUUUUGGUAGCUUACAAUGUGUUUGAUGAAAUACCUCAAUGAAGCAUUUGGGUAGCUUACAAUGUGUUUGAUGAAAUGCCUCAAUGAAGCAUUUGGUUGAUUUUUGAUUGAUAUUUGUUCGUUCGAAUUAGGAAAUCAAGGCCAAGGGAGAUGUCAUGGCUAUGGGCUGAAGCUUUGAGAAAAAGAGAAUGAAAAAUGAAAUUUGCUUUGAUUGAAGGAUAGAGGGAAGUGAUUAUUGAUAAUUAUAGGGCUUGAAGAAUCCUCGAGAGAGUGACAAUGCUUGUUGAAUUUUUAUGAAAAUGCAACAUUGAAAAGGGUUGGAAGGGCUUCAAGGUACGUUUUUAACUAUUGAAUUACAAUGAAAAUUGUUUGGACUUGUUAGUUCAAAGUUUAAAUUGAGUUUAGCUUGUGAAACUCAAAGAUUUCAUUUGUAUACUGAUUAUAUAUGUUGGUGUGGAAUAGUUUAUCUUGCGUGUACCUAACAAAAUGAUUAUGUUUGCUUGAUUAUAUUUUUAUUUGUCCAUUUUCUUAAAGGUUUUGAGUGAACUCAAGUUUAUGGUAGAUUGGGGUACAUUAAAAUUUAUUGAACUUA